rnacentral:lncRNA from 1 species
AAUAAACCCCACCCAGGAACCUUCUUUUAAGAAACAGGUGCUAGCUAGCAAGAGAAAGCAGCCAGUUGCCAAUAACAAUUAAAACUCCAUCUUCCUGACUCUGAAAACAAUUUCUAGGGGGAAACAGGCGCCCUGUUUCCUAGGGUUUAAUUCACUAGGUUGUCUCUGUGAAUUAGAGUCAGAUCUAAGUUUCACACUCAGGAGCGGUUUUCGCUGUCGACGACUACUGCCCUCCCAGCUCAGAGAAGUCCGUUUCCAAACUGGUAUAGCUGAGGUCCCUCGGGUGGCUACAGCUAGAAGAUCUGUUGUGGCUGGGACAUUCAUCAUGGCCUCUUACCCCUGGUGCCUGCCUCCAUCUGGCCUUUCAUGACUUCAUAGCCUAGCCGAAGCAUCUUUACAGCAUGAUGGCUGACAUCCAAAAAGGGAGAUUCUGAGAGGACAGGCCCUCAUGUGUAAGUACAUUUUUUAGCUUCUCC